UAUUUUAGUUAGUGGCACACGGGUGAGUAACACAUGAGAAUCUACCUGAUAGUACGGAAUAACCACCAGAAAUGGUGGCUAAUACCUUAUAUACCCUGAGGCGGAAAGAUUUAUCGCUAUCAGAUGAGCUUGUGCUAGAUUAGCUAGUUGCUGCGGUAAUGGCUCUCCAAGGCGAUGAUCUAUAGCUGGUCUGAGAGGACGGACAGCCACAUUGGAACUGACAUACGGUCUAGACUCCUACGGGAGGCAGCAGUGGGGAACAUUGGACAAUGACCGAAAGCUUGAUCCAGCCAUGCCGCGUGAGUGAUGAAGGCCUUACGGUUGUAAAACUCUUUCAGCGGGGAAGAUAAUGACGGUACCCGCAGAAGAAGUCCUGGCUAACUCCGUGCCAGCAGCCGCGGUAAUACGGGGAGGGCUAGCGCU
rnacentral:rRNA from 1 species